rnacentral:snoRNA from 1 species
AUACCCUCUUAAGAUUGAUGCAGUGUUUUAAGAGGCUAACACAGAAAGGUAAAGGAAAUCUUCAUAAAACCCAGAGAAGAGAUUGUAAAACUCCUCCCUGGAUCCUGUCUGGAGGCACACCU